CCCGCCUCCCUGCUGCUCCGCCGGGUCCGGCCCUGCCCGCGGCGGCCGCCUGCGGCAGCGCCCUGCCCGCCGGCCCGGCCUGGGCCCGGGGCCGCCGCCGCGGCCCUCCCCGCUCCGCGGCGCCGGCUCCCGGCGGGACGGGCCUGCGGCGCGGCCUGCCCCCGCGGAGAGCGGCUCGGAGGGGCGAGGGCAGGGUGAACCCGCCCCAAAUGAACGCCGCGGGCCAGGCUCGGUUCCCGGCUAGCACGCGGAGCAGCGCGGUUCGCGCGGGGCGCCCUGUCUGUCCCUUCACCCCGCCGGACCCUCUGCGGGUGGAGCUGGACGCAAGCUGUCAAGCCCCGAGGAGGUGGUGGGUGGUGUAUUUCUGACCUCCAAGUCCUCGUUUCACAAGGGAGACCUAAAGGCUAGCAUGUGUCUGGGGACAGAAGAGCCCCGCUCUGCUGUAGAUGCACAACAAAUUAUGGACCCCACAGAAAGAGCCUUAUGACUCUUCAUAAUUUCCCCAUAACUCCUGCGCUGUGAUCCACUCUGUUCAUAGGCAGUUACCUUUUUCUGUUCAAUAACUUCAUUCUCCGGUUGCACAGACUUGGAGCCAAGCGGUCAUGUGCCCAAAGCCUUCUCUGUUCUACUAGAUCAACUGAUCUACCUGAAAAAGAAAAUACCAUUCCUUACAAAAGCAAAAUCACAUCCAGUGCUGGGGUGCCUCAUCGUGAGAACAGAUAUACUGGAUCAAACCAGAGUGGUCUCUGUGAAUGGCAGGUGAAGAUAAAAUAGCCUGAAAUCGCACACGUGAUUUACCUUGGACCAACCAAGACUGUCAUAACAGGCACUUGUUUGCCCGCCUGAACCUCAAGUCUAACAUGCAAAGAUACUGAGGCAACUUCAGCAAGAAUUAUCAGGAAACCACCAAUGGUGUCAGCAUAUUAUUCUUCCACUACAGUAGUUUUACUUUUAACACUGUUUUCUUUUUAGUGAUUGGCUGUUUACAGUCACCUCAGCUUCACUUUAUUGCCUGCCACAUGCACUUCCUUCUCUACAUCUUUACACUUUUUUUCUCUUCAAGCCCAUUCCUCAUCAGUUCUCCCUUUCCUUUAUUUGUCCUUCUAGUCUAUGCUGUUAGCAAAUGCCACCCACAGAUUCAACAGCAGUUUUACAAGCCAUUGCAGAAGUUCUCCCCAACUCAUUCCUUUCUCUCUACUCUGUCUUGUCUGUAAAACAGUAAGAGACAAUCUUACAGUAUGUCUCUCUAAUGCCAAGUCCUGGCUGGGACCUUGAGGCACCAUUGUAAUACACAGAAAGAAUGGGUAAAUUCAAGGUGUUGACUGGAUCUCAGCUAAAUGAAGUAACAAUAACUUUCCUUUACCCAUCUCCUUACUUUCUGCACUUUUACCUCUCUGAGCUGAGGUCAUAAGAAAUGUUGAUAUUUUCAGUAACACAUUUUCAUAUCUGGUGAGACCUCUACUGUAUCUAAAUUUACUUCACCUGUUUGUGCAGCAGAACUCAAAUACUUUAUCAUACAAAGGACAUAAGUGGAAUUCUAAAUACUCUAAUUUUAUGAUACUAAUUUUUCCAAAUCAUUUAUUUAUAAACUUAAGGUAUAUAAAAAAAAAGUGGCAGAGAAAGUGGAUUUUUCUGUCAGACUUGUAUUUCUUUUGCAGCACAACAUAUGAAGACUGGGAAAGAACGGUUUGUUUCAUUUAGUCUGAUUUUUUUUAACAAGCAAACAGUUGUUUGCACAGCAGUUGUGUAAAUGGUCUAACAAGCUAGAUUUUUAUUCAACAUCAAUUUUAAUACCAGACCACAGCUGUCUCAAAUCUAGAGUACCCUACAUAACUUCACUGCAAAAUGAUGAAAGGUAAUAGAAGAUGGUGCCAGAAAUGUCUGGAUCAAGGCCAUUGUGUUAAAAAUAUAUAGCACGCAUCAGCAUUUGCUUGCAUUGUGCUGGUGUACAUAUCAGUAUUGCUGUUGCAUGCAGGAGAAAAUACAUCAAAUGUGUUAUAUGAUCAUUUAUUUCCCCUGGCAUUUAUAAAUAGUAUCGCUGUGCUAGAGGCCAGUCAAGAAUAGAGUCCCAUUAUGCUAAGGACUGUGCAAACAUAGGACAUGCUGUACGUUGCACAGUGGAGAACUGUCCAGAUAGAGCUGGCUUAACAGUGAAGUAUGUCUAGAGCCAGUGACAGUGUAGCUGCGCCACCACGGCCUUGCACCCAAACUGAUUUUGUAGGGCAUAUUAGCUUAAGCACUGUGCUGCCCUAACUGCCUCUAGGAUUCAGAUUAGUUUCUUGAAACUGCUCAGACCACUUGCAAUAAGACAAUGCUCUUUUUCCAUGCUUUAUCCCUUUGGGACUGUAUGUAUAUAGACAGUUUGUAAGUUCUUUUGGGUAGAAUCUAAACAGAUGAACUGGAUCCCCAGGAGGAGAAAGGGAUUUGUAUACAGGCAAGAUUUUAAGGAAAACAGCGUGCAAAUUCUCUUAGCCCUGUUAAAAGAAAUUCAUGUCCCUAAUAUAAUAAUAUUUUUUUUCCUAUCUUUCAUUGAAUCUGGACUGUCUCUCCUACAUGUUUCAGGUACUGUGCUUUAGCUGUUAUUACAAGUAUGUUAUAUUCAACUGACUGUUCAGAUUAAAUUGUGAGUUCUCCUCACAGGCUCUGUACUUUCACUGACAAUAAUAGCACUUCUGUCAUAUGCUGCAUGAAUUAUUAUUGACUAUUUUUUUAGUUUUAGACAUUUCUGGAAAUGUUGCACAAGCCUGUUGGUUUGUUAAUAAAAUCGAAAGGAAGUAACUUCAAUUUGAAAUAA